rnacentral:rRNA from 1 species
AUACGGAGGGUGCAAGCGUUAUUCGGAAUUACAGGGCGUAAAGGGUUCGUAGGCGGUUAUUUAAGUCAGAUGUGAAAGCCCCGGGCUCAACCUGGGAAUUGCAUCUGAUACUGGGUAACUAGAGUUUAAGAGAGGAGUGUGGAAUUUCCGGUGUAGCGGUGAAAUGCAUAGAGAUCGGAAGGAACAUCAGUGGCGAAGGCGGCACUCUGGCUUAAAACUGACGCUGAGGAACGAAAGCGUGGGUAGCAAACAGGAUUAGAAACCCUAGUAGUCC